GACGAACGCUGGCGGCGUGCUUAACACAUGCAAGUCGAACGGAAAGGCCCUGCAUUUGUGGGGUGCUCGAGUGGCGAAAGGGUGAGUAACACGUGAGUGACCUGCCCUUUACUUUGGGAUAACUUCAGGAAACUGGGGCUAAUACCGCAUAUGAGCUCCUUCUGCAUGGGGGGUGUGGGAAAGUGUCGGCGGUUGGGGAUGGACUCGCGGCUUAUCAGCGUGUUGGUGGGGUAGUGGCUUACCAAGGCUUUGACGGGUAGCCGGCCUGAGAGGGUGACCGGCCACAUUGGGACUGAGAUACGGCCCAGACUCCUACGGGAGGCAGCGGUGGGGAAUAUUGCACAAUGGGCGGAAGCCUUAUGCAGCAACGCCGCGUGCGGGAUGACGGCCUUCGGGUUGUAAACCGCUUUCGCCUGUGACGAAGCGUGAGUGACGGUAAUGGGUAAAGAAGCACCGGCUAACUACGUG
rnacentral:rRNA from 1 species